UGACGGUACCUGACUAAGAAGCCCCGGCUAACUACGUGCCAGCAGCCGCGGUAAUACGUAGGGGGCAAGCGUUAUCCGGAUUUACUGGGUGUAAAGGGAGCGCAGACGGUAAGACAAGUCUGAAGUGAAAUCCCGGGGCUCAACCCCGGAACUGCUUUGGAAACUGCCAUACUAGAGUGCAGGAGAGGUAAGUGGAAUUCCUAGUGUAGCGGUGAAAUGCGUAGAUAUUAGGAGGAACACCAGUGGCGAAGGCGGCUUACUGGACUGUAACUGACGUUGAGGCUCGAAAGCGUGGGGAGCAAACAGGAUUAGAUACCCUG
rnacentral:rRNA from 1 species